GAUCAGAGGGUAGAGCUUGAACUUUAUGUGUAGUGAGGAGACUCUGCAUUCUCUACAGUGGUACAGCUUUACCCUCACACUCUACAGUGGUACAGCUUUACCCUCACACUCUACAGUGGUACAGCUUUACCCUCACACUCUACAGUGGUACAGCUUUACCCUCACACUCUACAGGUGUUCAGCUCUAUCCUCACAACUCUACAGGUGUUCACCUUUAUCCUCACACUCUACAGGUGCACAGCUUUAUCCUCACACUCUACAGGUGCACAGCUCUAUCCUCACAACUCUACAGGUGCACAGCUCUAUCCUCACAACUCUACAAAAUCGUCUCAUCAUUAUAUCGGUUCCAUAA